rnacentral:sRNA from 1 species
UCUCAUUUUUAAUUGCAAAUAUUCAUAAUAAAUUUGUUUUCUUCACAGCAACUGAACGAUUGAAAACGAGCAGAGGUGGGGAAAGACGCAAAACUGUUUGAGUCUAAUUAGUCAGCUUCUUGACUACUGGAUUUCGACAUGUAAAAGUUUUAAAAGAAAUGCCUACAGAUAUAUGAACUUGCAAAAGCUUACCAACCAGGAGAUUUAGCAAAGAGAGAUUUUGCUGGGUAUAGAUUCAUUUCCAUUAUCAAUGAUAAAGGUGAUGGAGUUAAAAAUAGAACUGCACUAUUAAAUAUAAAUCUAAUCGGAUGAGUUAUACGUAUCCAUUGACGCGUUUUUAUCCUUGUUGCUCAUGGCUACAUGUGGCUUUGAUUAUAUUCACCGGAGUUG